CACCAGGUUGAUUCUGCCUGACGUAGACGCUAUUCCCUAAGAUUAACCCAUGCAUGUUUUUGACAUUUGAAAAAUGGACUGCUCAGUAAUACUCACUUUAUUUUAUGUAAAUUUUUAAUUAACUACGUUAAAGUGUAGAUAAGAUGUUUACAGUAAGAGUGAGACCUAUCAGCUAGUUGUUAAGGUAAUGGCUUAACAAGGCUGUGACGGGUAACGGUAUUACUUUGUAAUAUUCCGGAGAAGGAGCCUGAGAGACGGCUACUAAGUCUAAGGAUUGUGCAGCAGGGGCGAAACUUGACCUAUGGAUUUUAUCUGAGGCAGUUAUGGGAAGUAAUAUUAUAUUGUUUCAUAUUUUAAAAGUAUAUGAGGUGAUUAAUUGGAGGGCAAAUCAAGUGCCAGCAGCCGCGGUAAUACUUGUUCCAAGAGUGUGUAUGAUGAUUGAUGCAGUUAAAAAGUCCGUAGUUUAUUUUUUUAAGAAGCAAUAUGAGGUGUACUGUAUAGUUGGGAGAAAGAUGAAAUGUGACGACCCUGACUGGACGAACAGAAGCGAAAGCU
rnacentral:rRNA from 1 species